UACGGGGGGGGCAAGCGUUGUUCGGAAUUACUGGGCGUAAAGGGCUCGUAGGCGGCCAACUAAGUCAGACGUGAAAUCCCUCGGCUUAACCGGGGGACUGCGUCUGAUACUGGAUGGCUUGAGAUUGGGAGAGGGAUGCGGAAUUCCAGGUGUAGCGGUGAAAUGCGUAGAUAUCUGGAGGAACACCGGUGGCGAAGGCGGCAUCCUGGACCAACACUGACGCUGAGGGAGCGAAAGCCAGGGGAGCAAACGGG
rnacentral:rRNA from 1 species